UACUCGAAUACGAUCUUUUUCGUCGCAUGACGGAAAAGAAGAAAAGGAUGGCCUCUAUACAAAGCUAUCGCCGAAGGAGGGGUUUUUGCGUCUGAUUAGCUGGUUGGAGGGGUAACGGCCCAACAAGGCGAUGAUCAGUAGCCGGUCUGAGAGGAUGAACGGCCACAUUGGGACUGAGACACGGCCCAGACUCCUACGGGAGGCAGCAGUGGGGAAUCUUCCGCAAUGGACGAAAGUCUGACGGAGCAACGCCGCGUGAGUGAAGAAGGUCUUCGGAUUGUAAAGCUCUGUUAUACGGGACGAAAAAGACGGAUGCCAACAGUAUCCGUCCGUGACGGUACCGUAAGAGAAAGCCACGGCUAACUACGUGCCAGCAGCCGCGGUAAAU
rnacentral:rRNA from 1 species